AGGGCCGUAGUUUAACUAGAACGACUAACUUGCACUUAGAUGGAAUGAUAAAUCUACCCUU
rnacentral:tRNA from 1 species